CCUACGGGAGGCAGCAGUGAGGAAUAUUGGUCAAUGGACGAGAGUCUGAACCAGCCAAGUAGCGUGAAGGAUGACUGCCCUAUGGGUUGUAAACUUCUUUUAUAUGGGAAUAAAAUGUUCCACGUGUGGGAUUUUGUAUGUACCAUAUGAAUAAGGAUCGGCUAACUCCGUGCCAGCAGCCGCGGUAAUACGGAGGAUCCGAGCGUUAUCCGGAUUUAUUGGGUUUAAAGGGAGCGUAGGUGGAUUGUUAAGUCAGAUGUGAAAGUUUGCGGCUCAACCGUAAAAUUGCAGUUGAAACUGGCAGUCUUGAGUACAGUAGAGGUGGGCGGAAUUCGUGGUGUAGCGGUGAAAUGCUUAGAUAUCACGAAGAACUCCGAUUGCGAAGGCAGUUCACUGGACUGCAACUGACACUGAGGCUCGAAAGUGUGGGUAUCAAACAGGAUUAGAUACCCCAGUAGUC
rnacentral:rRNA from 1 species